GUCCACGCCCUAAACGAUGUCAACUAGUUGUUGGUAGAGUAAAAUCUAUGAGUAACGCAGCUAACGCGUGAAGUUGACCGCCUGGGGAGUACGAUCGCAAGAUUAAAACUCAAAAUGAAUUGACGGGGGCCCGCACAAGCGGUGGAUUAUGUGGAUUAAUUCGAUGCAACGCGAAAAACCUUACCUGGCCUUGACAUGUACGGAACUUUCCAGAGAUGGAUUGGUGCUAGAAAGAGAGCCGUAACACAGGUGCUGCAUGGCUGUCGU
rnacentral:rRNA from 1 species